rnacentral:rRNA from 1 species
UACGGGGGGCAAGCGUUGUUCGGAAUUACUGGGCGUAAAGGGCUCGUAGGCGGCCAACUAAGUCGGACGUGAAAUCCCUCGGCUCAACCGGGAACUGCGUCCGAUACUGGAUGGCUUGAAUCCGGAGAGGGAUGCGGAAUCCAGGUGGUAGCGGUGAAUGACUUAGAUAUGACAUAGAACACCGAUUGCGAAGGCAGCUGACUACGGAACAUUGACACUGAGGCACGAAAGCGUGGGGAUCAAACAGG